rnacentral:lncRNA from 1 species
GGGAAUUUGUGAGGUAGGCCGGAAGUGGUGUUGCGGAGGGAACUGUGGGGAGAGCAGAGGGGCAGCUCUGCUGGAGAGACCUGAGGCUUGCAUCGCUGGGCCCGGCCGGGUCGCUGCGGCUGGGCUGGAGGUCAAGGAUGCAUUCCAGGAAAGUUCUAUAAAAAUAUACCAUCAACUCCAACCUGAUAUUUGACCUAGCCAUGGAAAACCUCAUUGGCUCCUCACUGGAUCAGACCAUAAAAAUGAUCCAGGAAUGAAAAUCUAAGAUAAAUUCCCACCACUUCAAGAUGUUCUUAUACAAGUCAACAGUCUAGCAGAUCAGCCAGUCUCUUUCAUCAUCAAGCAGACAUACUCAAGAAAGAGGAAUAGUGAAGUGAAAUACACAGAAGCAUGUUCAAGUUCAUCUGUUGAAUCUGGAAUUGUGAAUAGUGACAAUAUUGAGAAAAAUACUGACUCCAAUCUGCAAACUUCAACUUCAUUUGAGCCACAUUUCAAAAAGAAAAAAAAGAAAAAUUUGAAACAUUAAGGGAAAACAGUUGGGUAAAAGAUCCAUUUGCUUUUCGAAACCCUGAAUCAAUAAUUGAGCUAAACUUGGUGCCUGAAGAAGAGAAUGAAUUAUUGCAGCUUAGUUCUUCAUAUACAUUGAAGAAUGAUUAUGAAACCUUAAGUUUAUCAGCAUUUUGGAUGAAGGUAAAGGAAGACUUUCCAUUGUUAAGUAGAAAGAGUGUCCUGCUAUUGCUACCAUUCACAACAACUAGUUUGUGUGAACUAGGGUUUUCCAUCUUAACGCAGUUAAAAACAAAGGAAAGAAAUGGGCUGAAUUGUGCAGCAGCUAUGCGGGUAGCAUUAUCUUCCUGUGUUCCAGACUGGAAUGAACUUAUGAACAGGCAAG